CCAUGACAACCAAAUACACCACAUCUAUACCCUCAGACAUUAUUGCCAGUAUACUAGAAAACAAGAGAUAACAUCCUCUCUCAUCUGCAAUGACCAAAGUCAUUACAAAAUGGUUUACAUUCCUCUUAAUAGGCUGACAGACUUCCUGGGAUACCCAGAGUUGUGAGGCAGCACCUGACCAUCACCUGCCCCUGAUGCAAAGAAGUUUUGUCUGCACCUGCUGUGGAUCAAAACAGCCCAGAUCUCUGCUAAUCAAGACAUUGGCAUUACAGAUAACGGAUACAAGACUUACAAGUGUUGUAAGGGAUGAAGUCUCAGUGGUAUAUUAAGUGAGAUUCAGUGAACAGCUGCAACACAACCAUAAAGUUCAAGCCAGGCAAUUAGAACAUUGCAUUAACAGUGAGGACCAAAUCCUGUUCACAUAUGCUAGAGUUAAUCCAGAAUACUCCAAUUUAUUCUUCUUCAUCUACAUCACCGCAAAUAUCAAAGGGACAUAACAUCCUUGUAGACAGAAUGCAACCUGGACUGAUCUCUAGUUAGGUUCUUGUAUAUCCAGCCCACCUUAUUCAGUUUAUAUGUCAUCACUAGCCAUUUUAUUGAACCAUCAAAGCUGUUGGCGACCAUAUGAUCACCAGCCAUGUAGCAGCAUUCCUUGAUAAACAUGCUUCAUAAUUCACUGAUCUUUAGUCCUAAUCAUAUGUCUGUACCAAGAAAGCCGCUGAAACCAAACCAGCGCGGACGGAGGCAGCUGUUGGUUUUGACUAUGAAUAUCCUCAUUUCUGAUCUUGUCCUUAAUAUGGAGAGCUGACAAAGACAAUGAUAACUGAAACUAUCAAUCUGCUGCUCGUCAGACUUCCUUAGUGCCCUCGUUUCCUUACUAUACAAUAAAGUUGGUAAAACCCUG